rnacentral:rRNA from 1 species
GACGAACGCUGGCGGCGUGCUUAACACAUGCAAGUCGAACGGAAAGGCCCUGCUUUUGUGGGGUGCUCGAGUGGCGAACGGGUGAGUAACACGUGAGUAACCUGCCCUUGACUUUGGGAUAACUUCAGGAAACUGGGGCUAAUACCGGAUAGGAGCUCCUGCUGCAUGGUGGGGGUUGGAAAGUUUCGGCGGUUGGGGAUGGACUCGCGGCUUAUCAGCUUGUUGGUGGGGUAGUGGCUUACCAAGGCUUUGACGGGUAGCCGGCCUGAGAGGGAGACCGGCCACAUUGGGACUGAGAUACGGCCCAGACUCCUACGGGAGGCAGCAGUGGGGAAUAUUGCACAAUGGGCGGAAGCCUGAUGCAGCAACGCCGCGUGCGGGAUGACGGCCUUCGGGUUGUAAACCGCUUUCGCCUGUGACGAAGCGUGAGUGACGGUAAUGGGUAAAGAAGCACCGGCUAACUACGUGCCAGCAGCCGCGGUGAUACGUAGGGUGCGAGCGUUGUCCGGAUUUAUUGGGCGUAAAGGGCUCGUAGGUGGUUGAUCGCGUAGGAAGUGUAAUCUUGGGGCUUAACCCUGAGCGUGCUUUCGAUACGGGUUGACUUGAGGAAGGUAGGGGAGAAUGGAAUUCCUGGUGGAGCGGUGGAAUGCGCAGAUAUCAGGAGGAACACCAGUGGCGAAGGCGGUUCUCUGGGCCUUUCCUGACGCUGAGGAGCGAAAGCGUGGGGAGCGAACAGGCUUAGAUACCCUGGUAGUCCACGCUGUAAACGGUGGGUACUAGGUGUGGGGUCCAUUCCACGGGUUCCGUGCCGUAGCUAACGCUUUAAGUACCCCGCCUGGGGAGUACGGCCGCAAGGCUAAAACUCAAAGGAAUUGACGGGGCCCCGCACAAGCGGCGGAGCAUGCGGAUUAAUUCGAUGCAACGCGUAGAACCUUACCUGGGUUUGACAUGGAUCGGGAGUGCUCAGAGAUGGGUGUGCCUCUUUUGGGGUCGGUUCACAGGUGGUGCAUGCCUGUCGUCAGCUCGUGUCGUGAGAUGUUGGGUUAAGUCCCGCAACGAGCGCAACCCUUGUUCACUGUUGCCAGCACGUUAUGGUGGGGACUCAGUGGAGACCGCCGGGGUCAACUCGGAGGAAGGUGGGGAUGACGUCAAGUCAUCAUGCCCCUUAUGUCCAGGGCUUCACGCAUGCUACAAUGGCUGGUACAGAGAGUGGCGAGCCUGUGAGGGUGAGCGAAUCUCGGAAAGCCGGUCUCAGUUCGGAUUGGGGUCUGCAACUCGACCUCAUGAAGUCGGAGUCGCUAGUAAUCGCAGAUCAGCAACGCUGCGGUGAAUACGUUCCCGGGGCU